rnacentral:rRNA from 1 species
UACGUAGGGUGCAAGCGUUAUCCGGAAUUAUUGGGCGUAAAGAGCUCGUAGGCGGUUUGUCGCGUCUGCUGUGAAAACUGGAGGCUCAACCUCCAGCCUGCAGUGGGUACGGGCAGACUAGAGUGCGGUAGGGGAGAUUGGAAUUCCUGGUGUAGCGGUGGAAUGCGCAGAUAUCAGGAGGAACACCGAUGGCGAAGGCAGAUCUCUGGGCCGUAACUGACGCUGAGGAGCGAAAGCUAGGGGAGCAAACGGG